CAAUAGCGUAUAUUUAAGUUGUUGCAGUUAAAAAGCUCGUAGUUGGAUUUCGGAUGGGCUUGACCGGUCCGCCGUUUGGUGUGCACUGGUCGUGCCUAUCUUGCUGCCGGGGACGCGCUCCUGGCCUUAAUUGGCUGGGACGCGGAGUCGGCGAUGUUACUUUGAAAAAAUUAGAGUGUUCAAAGCAGGCCUAAGCUCUGAAUACAUUAGCAUGGAAUAACGCUAUAGGACUCUGGUCUUAUUGCGUUGGUCUUCGAGACCGGAGUAAUGAUUAAGAGGGACAGUUGGGGGCAUUCGUAUUUCAUUGUCAGAGGUGAAAUUCUUGGAUUUAUGAAAGAUGAACUUCUGCGAAAGCAUUUGCCAAGGAUGUUUUCAUUAA
rnacentral:rRNA from 1 species